rnacentral:rRNA from 1 species
AGCGAACGCUGGCGGCAGGCCUAACACAUGCAAGUCGAGCGCCGUAGCAAUACGGAGCGGCAGACGGGAGAGUAGCACGUGGGAACGUACCCUUUGGUUCGGAACAACCCAGGGAAACUUGGGCUAAUACCGGAUAAGCCCUUACGGGGAAAGAUUCAUCGCCGAAGGAUCGGCCCGCGUCUGAUUAGCUAGUUGGUGGGGUAAUGGCCCACCAAGGCGACGAUCAGUAGCUGGUCUGAGAGGAUGAUCAGCCUCACUGGGACUGAGUCACGGCCCAGACUCCUACGGGAGGCAGCAGUGGGGAAUAUUGGACAAUGGGCGCAAGCCUGAUCCAGCCAUGCCGCGUGGGUGAUGAAGGCCUUAGGGUUGUAAAGCCCUUUCGGCGGGGAAGAUAAUGACGGUACCCGCAGAAGAAGCCCCGGCUAACUUCGUGCCAGCCGCCGCCGUAAUAC